CCUACGGGUGGCUGCAGUGGGGAAUAUUGGACAAUGGGCGAAAGCCUGAUCCAGCCAUGCCGCGUGUGUGAAGAAGGCCUUCGGGUUGUAAAGCACUUUCAGUGGGGAAGAAAGCCUUGGGGCUAAUACCCUCGAGGAAGGACAUCACCCACAGAAGAAGCACCGGCUAACUCCGUGCCAGCAGCCGCGGUAAUACGGAGGGUGCGAGCGUUAAUCGGAAUUACUGGGCGUAAAGCGCGCGUAGGCGGUCUGAUAAGCCGGUUGUGAAAGCCCCGGGCUCAACCUGGGAACGGCAUCCGGAACUGUCAGGCUAGAGUGCAGGAGAGGAAGGUAGAAUUCCCGGUGUAGCGGUGAAAUGCGUAGAGAUCGGGAGGAAUACCGGUGGCGAAGGCGGCCUUCUGGACUGACACUGACGCUGAGGUGCGAAAGCGUGGGUAGCAAACAGGAUUAGAUACCUUGUAGUC
rnacentral:rRNA from 1 species